rnacentral:rRNA from 1 species
AAUUUUGCGCAAUGGGCGAAAGCUUGACGCAGCCAUGCCGCGUGAAUGAUGAAGGUCUUAGGAUUGUAAAAUUCUUUCACCGGGGACGAUAAUGUCGGUACCCGGAGAAGAAGCCCCGGUUACCUUCGUGCCAGCAGCCCCGGUAAUCCGAAGGGGGCUAGCGUUGUUCGGAAUUACUGGGCGUAAAGGGCGCGUAGGCGGACAUUUAAGUCAGGGGUGAAAUCCCAGGGCUCAACUCUGGAACUGCCUUUGAUACUGGGUGUCUUGAGUGUGAGAGAGGUAUGUGGAACUCCGAGUGUAGAGGUGAAAUUCGUAGAUAUUCGGAAGAACACCAGUGGCGAAGGCGACAUACUGGCUCAUUACUGACGCUGAGGCGCGAAAGCGUGGGGAGCAAACA